rnacentral:rRNA from 1 species
UAACGAAUCUUCCCCAAUGCACGCAAGUGUGAGGGAGCGACGCCGCGUGGAGGACCAAGUCCUUCGGGAUGUAAACUCCUGUCAGGGGCUACCAAGUUCUGAGGAGCCCCAGAGGAAGGCACGGCUAACUCUGUGCCAGCAGCCGCGGUAAGACAGAGGUGCCAAGCGUUAGGCGGAAUCACUGGGCUUAAAGCGUGUGUAGGCGGAAGCGUAAGUGCCUUGUGAAAUCCCACGGCUUAACCGUGGAACGGCUGGGCAUACUGCGUUUCUUGAGCCAGCCAGGGGUCGUCGGAACAAACGGUGGAGCGGUGAAAUGCGUAGAUAUCGUUUGGAACGCCAAAAGGCGAAAGCAGACGACUGGGGCUGAGCUGACGCUGAGACACGAAAGCCAGGGGAGCAAACGGGAUUAGAUACCCCGGUAGUCCUGGCCCUAAACGAUGUCCACUGGAUCGUGGUUCCUCUGAAGGAUCCACGGUCGGAGCAAAAGUG